CUCUGUGGCAUGGAGCAUUCCUGGGGGAAUGCAGAGGAUGCCAGCCUUCAAGGUAAACUGACUUGUAUUUCAAAGGACUGAUUAUUCAGAAUUGUCCCGAGCCUCACAGGGAGGUGCUGAGGAAAGGCAGAGGAAACAUUUGGAUCCCCAAUGGGACGAAGCCACCGGUACAGAGAGGACGAUGGUGUCAUUGGCGUAGAGCCCAGGAAAGUUCAUCACAGAAACAGUGCUGGAAGAAAGUAGAAGAAAAAAGCUUUGGGGGCUGGAGAUCAAGACGUUCCAGGAAACGUCUGGCACAUAUCAAUGCACGUGAGGUAGGAGGCAGAGUGUGGAGGUGGUGGCGUUUCAGUUUAGUGUGCUCCAGCUCUCUCCCUCCUUCUUUCCCUCUGGAUGCCCUUUUCUCUACCCUCUCCCCCACUGCCCCCUCCUGGACCUCCAGGUGCCAAGUUAGCACCGUCGUGUUAGCCCAGCCCCUAGAGGAGGCACCUUGCCCAGGCCUGCACACCUACUUCGGGAUCGCAACCACAAAUGCCUGCAGGUGCCAGCCAGAAGAAUGAGUUGCCCAGUGAUGGCUUUAUGCUACCAUCAGUUGAAGAUCCAAGAUGGAAACCUAAAGUCCACAUUUUUCCUGCUAUGCCAAGCUACCCUUAAACAGUAAAAUAUGAACCCACAGAUGAGGAAGAGCUCGAGAAAAAUAAAUGAAAUGCUGAGGAAUUGGCAUACCCCUCCCGAAGAAGGAAGCAAAAUUUAUGAACUUCAGAAUUAAAUUCAAAGGAUAUAGUACUUGGUGAAUUGCACAAAGGAUCACUCAAUCCUUCCAACCGAGGAGAGAAACUGUGAUUGGAAAGCUCCCUUCCCAAAGGUGUGCCCCCUGAAUUCUGGGAUUGCAUAAUGUGAGUGCAAAUGAAAGUCAAGUCAAUGAAAGCAGUCAAGGAGGGACAAGAGAGGAGGGAGGGUAUUUCCAGAGGAGAUUUGAAAUGAGAUCCCGGGUUGAUGAGGCAAAGACAUACAGGAUGGUUGUUCAAAUGACAGGAGCUACAGAAGAUGUGCCUCUGUGUUUGUCUUUAUGAAGAGAGAAAAGCUUAAACGGACAGGAACACCAAAUAUUAAAAGUACUAUAUACAGCACAAAACAUUGUUUUAAAAUCUGAAAAUGCUACAAGAACACAGAUUUCACUUUAAAUAAUUUUGCUGAACAUGAUUUUCAAAAGUGAAUGAGUAAUUUUACAUGGUAUGGUGGUAUAGUGGUUGAAUUGUGGCCCCCAAAAAGAGUCUCCACGUUCUAACCCCCAGGACCUGUGAAUGUGACCUUUUUGGGAAAAAGCAUAUUUACUAGUGUAAUUAAGUUAAAGAUAUUUAGAUGAGAUCAUCUUAGAUUACCUGGGUGGGCCCUAAAUCCAUUGACAACUGUCCUUAUAAGAGAUAAAAGAGAAGACAGACACACAGAGCGAGAAGGUGUUGUGAAGAACGGGGCAGAGAUUGGAGCGAUGCAGCCACAGGGCAAGGAAUGCCUGAAGCCACCAGCAGCUGGAAGAAGGAUUCUCUCCUAGAGAUUUCAGAGGGAGCAUGCUCUGCAAACACUUUGAUUUUGGACUUCUGGCCUCCAGAACUCAUCACCCCAGCAGUGACCUCUCACCCUGGAAGCAGUAUUAGUUCCAGUUGGUAGCAGUUUCCAGCCUCUUUCAAUACUCCC
ensembl:lncRNA